GCCUGCCCUGUGCAAGUCAGACCUAGGCAGAAUUUCAGCCCCUUUGAUUCACACACCACCUUUGCAUCAUUGGAAAUGACUUUGACCAGCAAUGGAAAAUAAAGGGAACAUACUGCAGUUUCAAUUGUUGCGGGACUCAGGUUUUCUCUCAGCACCGCGUACACGCUUGGAGACAUGGGAAGAAGGUCUGAAGGAGAAUGUGGCUCUGUUGAAUCACUUCGGCUUAAAGAGAUAACAAGAGGGCAUGAAGUCAGGUGGCUGCCAGUCUGUGAGUGACAACUGUAGGAUAUUCUACACGAUGGUGCCCAGAGAUUUAGUUGCUACAGAUGAAGAUUUUUAUGGAUUGUAUACACUUUCGUUAAAGAAACAGAAUGGUGAAUGUA